AGAACGCAUCACAGGAGAGGGACAGAAAGAGACUAGAAAGAAAGAAAGGUCGCUGAGGAGGUAGCAGUAGCAGUGGAAGGGGCAUGCAGAGGAGAGGAGGGAAGGCGAAAGAAAUCCUAUCUCCUGUGCCUGCCCCUCCCACCCCUGCUGUUACGACUCGCUUCUGCCGGUCACGGCAAUUCCUCCUCGACAUCUUAUCGACGAACGCUUAUAGCGAAGGUAAGGGGGAAGGGGGAGAAAGAGGUCGAUUGCCAUCUUGGAAUCGCUCCUCGCUCCUGGAUCUGAAUCUGGAUUUUGGCCUUACGAACGAACAGGUAGCAAUCUGAAUUUGGGUUUCAUAGCAGGAGUUGCGUGUAGGAUUCUUGAAGCGAAGACCUCGAUUGCCAUCUUUUUACCGUCCCAGCGGUUAAUGAUUUGUGUGGACAACCAAAACAGUGGGAGUCAGCUGCACGUUUGCUGUUCCCGGAGAAGCAAGCAUAUUUGGUAAUCUUAAUUGAUCUCUCUCUCUGUGUGUGUGUGUGUGUGUUGUGAGCAUUAUUAUGUUGCAACUUCUUGCUUAUUGGUCAGUGUGUGUCUCUCCACCAAACACCAGUUGCUUAUUUUGCAACUUGGUUGAGAAAUAUUACAUUUUAUGGAGAUGUGCAUUGUUUGUGUCUAUCGCUAAGGCAAGUGUGGGGCAAAUUUGAAACAAAAAUAUGGCAGCAUUUUGUCUUGGUU